rnacentral:rRNA from 1 species
UACAGAGGGUGCGAGCGUUGUUCGGAAUUAUUGGGCGUAAAGCGCUUGUAGGCGGCACGUCAAGUCGCGUGUGAAAUCCCCAAGGCUUAACCUGGGAAGUGCGCGCGAAACUGACGAGCGUUGAGUGCCGGAGAGGGUCGCGGAAUUCCCGGUGUAGAGGUGAAAUUCGUAGAUAUCGGGAGGAACACCAGUGGCGAAGGCGGCGACC